AGUCUCGUAGCUCAAUUGGCAGAUGUAUCCGGCUUUUAACCGGAGGGUUGUGAGUUCGAAUCUCACCGGGACUACAA
rnacentral:tRNA from 1 species